GUGCUUCCUUCAGUAGCACAUAUGCUAAAAGUGGAACAAUACAGAGAUUAACAUGCUCCUUGAGCUAGGACAAUGUGCAAAUUUGUGGUGUGUUUGAUAUUUAA